GCGUGAGUGGCGGAAUUGGUAGACGCGCUACCUUGAGGUGGUAGUCCUUUCGGGGGUGGAGGUUCGAGUCCUCUCUCGCGCACCA
rnacentral:tRNA from 2 species